rnacentral:rRNA from 1 species
GAUGAACGCUGGCGGCGUGCCUAAUACAUGCAAGUCGAGCGAACAGACGAGGAGCUUGCUCCUCUGACGUUAGCGGCGGACGGGUGAGUAACACGUGGAUAACCUACCUAUAAGACUGGGAUAACUUCGGGAAACCGGAGCUAAUACCGGAUAAUAUAUUGAACCGCAUGGUUCAAUAGUGAAAGACGGUUUUGCUGUCACUUAUAGAUGGAUCCGCGCCGCAUUAGCUAGUUGGUAAGGUAACGGCUUACCAAGGCAACGAUGCGUAGCCGACCUGAGAGGGUGAUCGGCCACACUGGAACUGAGACACGGUCCAGACUCCUACGGGAGGCAGCAGUAGGGAAUCUUCCGCAAUGGGCGAAAGCCUGACGGAGCAACGCCGCGCGAGUGAUGAAGGUCUUCGGAUCGUAAAACUCUGUUAUUAGGGAAGAACAAAUGUGUAAGUAACUAUGCACGUCUUGACGGUACCUAAUCAGAAAGCCACGGCUAACUACGUGCCAGCAGCCGCGGUAAUACGUAGGUGGCAAGCGUUAUCCGGAAUUAUUGGGCGUAAAGCGCGCGUAGGCGGUUUUUUAAGUCUGAUGUGAAAGCCCACGGCUCAACCGUGGAGGGUCAUUGGAAACUGGAAAACUUGAGUGCAGAAGAGGAAAGUGGAAUUCCAUGUGUAGCGGUGAAAUGCGCAGAGAUAUGGAGGAACACCAGUGGCGAAGGCGACUUUCUGGUCUGUAACUGACGCUGAUGUGCGAAAGCGUGGGGAUCAAACAGG